rnacentral:rRNA from 1 species
AGGUAAGCUACUAAGAGCGAAUGGUGGAUGCCUUGACUGGUAAAGGCGAUGAAGGACGUACUAGACUGCGAUAAGCUACGGGGAGCUGUCAAGAAGCUUUGAUCCGUAGAUUUCCGAAUGGGGCAACCCAAUGUAUAGAGAUAUACAUUACCUAUAUAGGAGCGAACGAGGGGAAUUGAAACAUCUUAGUACCCUCAGGAAAAGAAAUCAAUAGAGAUUGCGUCAGUAGCGGCGAGCGAAAGCGCAAGAGGGCAAACCCAGUGCUUGCACUGGGGGUUGUAGGACUGCAAUGUGCAAGAGGUGAGUUUAGCAGAACAUUCUGGAAAGUAUAGCCAUAGAGGGUGAUAGUCCCGUAUGCGAAAAACAAACCUUAGCUAGCAGUAUCCUGAGUAGGGCGGGACACGAGGAAUCCUGUCUGAAUCCGGGUCGACCACGAUCCAACCCUAAAUACUAAUACCAGAUCGAUAGUGCACAAGUACCGUGAGGGAAAGGUGAAAAGAACUGAGGUGAUCAGAGUGAAAUAGAACCUGAAACCAUUUGCUUACAAUCAUUCAGAGCCCUAUGUAGCAAUACAGGGUGAUGGACUGCCUUUUGCAUAAUGAGCCUGCGAGUUGUGGUGUCUGGCAAGGUUAAGCAAACGCGAAGCCGUAGCGAAAGCGAGUCUGAAUAGGGCGCUUAGUCAGAUGCUGCAGACCCGAAACGAAGUGAUCUAUCCAUGAGCAAGUUGAAGCUAGUGUAAGAACUAGUGGAGGACUGAACCCAUAGGCGUUGAAAAGCCCCGGGAUGACUUGUGGAUAGGGGUGAAAGGCCAAUCAAACUUCGUGAUAGCUGGUUCUCUCCGAAAUAUAUUUAGGUAUAGCGUUGUGUCGUAAUAUAAGGGGGUAGAGCACUGAAUGGGCUAGGGCAUACACCAAUGUACCAAACCCUAUCAAACUCCGAAUACCUUAUAUGUAAUCACAGCAGUCAGGCGGCGAGUGAUAAAAUCCGUCGUCAAGAGGGAAACAACCCAGACUACCAGCUAAGGUCCCUAAAUCUUACUUAAGUGGAAAACGAUGUGAAGUUACUUAAACAACCAGGAGGUUGGCUUAGAAGCAGCCAUCCUUUAAAGAAAGCGUAAUAGCUCACUGGUCUAGUGAUUUUGCGCGGAAAAUAUAACGGGGCUAAAGUAAGUACCGAAGCUGUAGACUUAGUUUACUAAGUGGUAGGAGAGCGUUCUAUUUGCGUCGAAGGUAUACCGGUAAGGAGUGCUGGAGCGAAUAGAAGUGAGCAUGCAGGCAUGAGUAGCGAUAAUUAAUGUGAGAAUCAUUAACGCCGUAAACCCAAGGUUUCCUACGCGAUGCUCGUCAUCGUAGGGUUAGUCGGGUCCUAAGCCGAGUCCGAAAGGGGUAGGCGAUGGCAAAUUGGUUAAUAUUCCAAUACCAACAUUAGUGUGCGAUGGAAGGACGCUUAGGGCUAAGGGGCUAGCGGAUGGAAGUGCUAGUCUAAGGUCGUAGGAGGUUAUACAGGCAAAUCCGUAUAACAAUACUCCGAGAACUGAAAGGCUUUUUGAAGUCUUCGGAUGGAUAGAAGAACCCCUGAUGCCGUCGAGCCAAGAAAAGUUUCUAAGUUUAGCUAAUGUUGCCCGUACCGUAAACCGACACAGGUGGGUGGGAUGAGUAUUCUAAGGCGCGUGGAAGAACUCUCUUUAAGGAACUCUGCAAAAUAGCACCGUAUCUUCGGUAUAAGGUGUGGUUCGCUUUGUAUUAGGAUUUACUCCGAAAGCAAGGAAACUUACAACAAAGAGUCCCUCCCGACUGUUUACCAAAAACACAGCACUCUGCUAACUCGUAAGAGGAUGUAUAGGGUGUGACGCCUGCCCGGUGCUCGAAGGUUAAUUGAUGGGGUUAGCAUUAGCGAAGCUCUUGAUCGAAGCCCGAGUAAACGGCGGCCGUAACUAUAACGGUCCUAAGGUAGCGAAAUUCCUUGUCGGUUAAAUACCGACCUGCAUGAAUGGCGUAACGAGAUGGGAGCUGUCUCAAAGAGGGAUCCAGUGAAAUUGUAGUGGAGGUGAAAAUUCCUCCUACCCGCGGCAAGACGGAAAGACCCCGUGGACCUUUACUACAGCUUGACACUGCUACUUGGAUAAGAAUGUGCAGGAUAGGUGGGAGGCUUUGAGUAUAUGACGCCAGUUGUAUAUGAGCCAUUGUUGAGAUACCACUCUUUCUUAUUUGGGUAGCUAACCAGCUUGAGUUAUCCUCAAGUGGGACAAUGUCUGGUGGGUAGUUUGACUGGGGCGGUCGCCUCCCAAAUAAUAACGGAGGCUUACAAAGGUUGGCUCAGAACGGUUGGAAAUCGUUCGUAGAGUAUAAAGGUAUAAGCCAGCUUAACUGCAAGACAUACAAGUCAAGCAGAGACGAAAGUCGGUCUUAGUGAUCCGGUGGUUCUGUGUGGAAGGGCCAUCGCUCAAAGGAUAAAAGGUACCCCGGGGAUAACAGGCUGAUCUCCCCCAAGAGCUCACAUCGACGGGGAGGUUUGGCACCUCGAUGUCGGCUCAUCGCAUCCUGGGGCUGGAGCAGGUCCCAAGGGUAUGGCUGUUCGCCAUUUAAAGCGGUACGCGAGCUGGGUUCAGAACGUCGUGAGACAGUUCGGUCCCUAUCUGCCGUGGGCGUAAGAAGAUUGAAGAGAUUUGACCCUAGUACGAGAGGACCGGGUUGAACAAACCACUGGUGUAGCUGUUGUUCUGCCAAGAGCAUCGCAGCGUAGCUAAGUUUGGAAAGGAUAAACGCUGAAAGCAUCUAAGCGUGAAGCCAACUCUAAGAUGAAUCUUCUCUAAGCUCUCUAGAAGACUACUAGUUUGAUAGGCUGGGUGUGUAAUGGAUGAAAGUCCUUUAGCUGACCAGUACUAAUAGAGCGUUUGGCUUAUCUUU